rnacentral:rRNA from 1 species
UACAGAGGGGGCAAGCGUUGUUCGGAAUUACUGGGCGUAAAGCGCGUGUAGGCGGUUGCCCAAGUCGGGUGUGAAAGCCUUGAGCUCAACUCAAGAAAUGCACUCGGUACUGGGUGACUAGAGGACCGGAGAGGAUAGUGGAAUUCCCAGUGUAGUGGUGAAAUACGUAGAGAUUGGGAAGAACACCAGUGGCGAAGGCGGCUAUCUGGACGGUUUCUGACGCUAAGACGCGAAAGCGUGGGGAGCAAACAGGA